rnacentral:rRNA from 1 species
CAUGGGGGAACGCCUUAAAUGCAAGUCGAACGGCAGCACGGAGCUUGCUCUGGUGGCGAGUGGCGAACGGGUGAGUAAUAUAUCGGAACGUACCCUAGAGUGGGGGAUAACGUAGCGAAAGUUACGCUAAUACCGCAUACGAUCUAAGGAUGAAAGUGGGGGAUCGCAAGACCUCAUGCUCGUGGAGCGGCCGAUAUCUGAUUAGCUAGUUGGUAGGGUAAAAGCCUACCAAGGCAUCGAUCAGUAGCUGGUCUGAGAGGACGACCAGCCACACUGGAACUGAGACACGGUCCAGACUCCUACGGGAGGCAGCAGUGGGGAAUUUUGGACAAUGGGCGAAAGCCUGAUCCAGCAAUGCCGCGUGAGUGAAAGAAAGGCCUUCGGGUUGUAAAGCUCUUUUGGUCCAAGGAAAGAAACGGUGAGGAGCCUAAUAUUCUUUUUGCUAAUGGACGGUAACUUGAAAGAAAUUAAGGCACCGGCUAAAUACGUGCCCAGCAGCCGCGGUAAUACGUAGGGUGCAAAGCGUUAAUCGGAAAUUACUGGGCGUAAAGCGUGCGCAGGCGGUUUUGUAAGUCUGAUGUGAAAUCCCCGGGCUCAACCUGGGAAUUGCAUUGGAGACUGCAAGGCUAGAAUCUGGCAGAGGGGGGUAGAAUUCCACGUGUAGCAGUGAAAUGCGUAGAUAUGUGGAGGAACACCGAUGGCGAAAGGCAGCCCCCUGGGUCAAGAUUGACGCUCAUGCACGAAAGCGUGGGGAGCAAACAGGAUUAGAUACCCUGGUAGUCCACGCCCUAAACGAUGUCUACUAGUUGUCGGGUCUUAAUUUGACUUGGUAACGCAGCUAACGCGUGAAGUAGACCGCCUUGGGGAGUACGGUCGCAAGAUUAAAACUCAAAGGAAUUGACGGGGACCCGCACAAGCGGUGGAUGAUGUGGAUUAAUUCGAUGCAACGCGAAAAACCUUACCUACCCUUUGACAUGGCUGGAAUCCUUGAAGAGAUCAGGGAGUGCUCGAAAGAGAACCAGGUACACAGGUGCUUGCAUGGCUGUCGUCAGCUCGUGUUCGUGAGAAGUUGGGUUAGUAGUCCCGCAACGAGCGCAACCCUUGCCAUAUAGUUGCCACCGAAAGGGCACUCUAAUGAGACUGCCGGUGACAAACCGGAGGAAGGUGGGGAUGACGUCAAGUCCUCAUGGCCCUUAUGGGUAGGGCUUCACACGUCAUACAAUGGUACAUACAGAGCGCCGCCAACCCGCGAGGGGGAGCUAAUCGCAGAAAGUGUAUCGUAGUCCGGAUUGUAGUCUGCAACUCGACUGCAUGAAGUUGGAAUCGCUAGUAAUCGCGGAUCAGCAUGUCGCGGUGAAUACGUUCCCGGGUCUUGUACACACCGCCCGUCACACCAUGGGAGCGGGUUUUACCAGAAGUAGGUAGCUUAACCGCAAGGAGGGCGCUACUAUUAGUGUUUCCCCCG